UUACAGGAUCACAAAUCAUUGUUGCCCCGGUGGACGAAGACGCAGCUGCCUCUUUCAAUGAAUUGUUGGUCUUUUUUUAUGCUAAGGUAGUACUUGGUGAGUCCGUGAGCUGAUGAUGCCUUGGUAUGGAUGCUUGACUGAUUAACGAUGGAAAUGUCAGGGCGCAGUGAAAGAAUGUGGAAACAGCCGUCAUGCCCCUCUAAUUUCUCAUCUACUGUGUACAAUAGUGGAUUCCCUGAUCCAGGAUUAGCACCAUAUCCAAUGAUGAGUAAUUUCUAAAAAGGGUUCAUUGCACAGCCCAAAAUAGUGCUCUGCAUCUGUUUUCUGCAUGGAUGGCUUCAGUAGCCAUACCAACAUAUUGGCUUCAGGUGUAGCCGUGCAGCAAUGCCACAUCUUCCUUCAAAGGUGGAGACAAUGCUAUAUUAUAGCUUGUGACGGUUGGUUUGGUGUAGUAGAUGGAGUUGAUCAAUAGUUAUUUGAAGGACCAAAGUUGAUGGCAUAAUUGAUCUCCCUCUCCUCUGUCCUGCUACUGACAUUAGAAGUGCAAGCUUUUCUUGUAAUUGUUUUUUAGUGUACUUUUCUUGUUUGUGAUAAUCAAUUUUUUACUCCGAUUGAGUUGACCUUAGGAGUGCAAUGUAUAAAUUGUGCUUGAUCCAUAAAAUAUUUUUGCUUUUAUUCUGUUUUUAUAGAGAACCAUCCAAAUUGUCAGGUUAGUAUAGUUUAUAUGAAAUUGUCUUAAUUACUAAAAGAAUUUAUAUGGAGUGCA